CUGCAAUGAGCUAAGGGAUAGUGCGCUAUAAUCAGAGGGACUGUGUGCUAGUGAGGCCCUUCGGUCGGCUACACAAGGUGCUGUGUGUAGGGAGGCACAUCUGAAGUGCUUCUACACAAAUGCACGCAGUAUGAGGAAUAAAAUGGAUGAACUAGAAGUCUUGGCCCAGUCCUGCAGCUAUGACAUCAUCGGCAUAAGCGAAACCUGGUGGGAUAAGUCCUGUGGCUGGUGUGUUGCAAUAGAUGGUUACAGGCUCUUCAGGAGGGACAGGCAGGGUAGGCGAGGUCGGGGGGUGGUGAUGUAUGUGAAGCAGGGGCUGGACUGUGUGGAACUUCAACUUGGCAAUGGCAAAGUUGAGAGCCUCUGGGUAAGGAUUAAGGGACGAACAAAUAAAGGGGAUGUCGUUGUGGGAGUCUAUUACAGAGGACCUGGUCAGGACAACAACACCGAUGAAUUAUUCUUUCCAGAACUAAGAGAUGCCUCGAGAUCAACUCCCCUUGUCCUUAUGGGGGACUUCAACUUGCCAGACAUCAACUGGGAUCACCACACGGCCAACACGAGCAAGUCAAAGAGGUUCAUAAAGCACCUAGAUGAUAACUUCUUGGUGCAGGUGCUAAGGGAGCCAACUAGGAAAGGUGCCCUCCUAGAUCUGUUGCUGGAGAACAGAGAGGGUCUUGUGGGGGACGUGGCAAUUGGCGGCCAUCUUGGUCAUAGUGACCAUGAAGUGGUUGAUUUUAGAAUUUAUGGUGACAGAAGGAAAACUGUCACCAAAACUUCAGCCCUGGAUAUGGGGAAAGCAGACUUCAGGCUGUUCGGGGAACUAGUCAGCAAGGUCCCCUGGGAAACUGCUUUUGAAGGCAUUGGCGUCCAUCAGUGCUGGUCAGUCUUUAAGCACUGCCUCCUAAAAGCACAAGAUCAGGCAAUUCCAAAAUAUCAGAAGUAGGCAGGGCAGAAGGCCGGCCUGGCUGACCAGGGAUCUGGAGCUUAGGCGAAAAAAGAAAAUGUACGGCUGCUGGAAGGAGGGUCAGGCGACGUGGAAGGAAUACAGGGAUGCUGUUCGUGUUUGUAGGGAAAAAAUUUGUGUGGCCAAAGCCCAACUAGAGUUGAAGCUGGCUGUGUCUGUGGGAGACAAUAAAAAAGGUUUUUUUAGAUACGUGAACA
ensembl:lncRNA